CUACGGGUGGCAGCAGUGAGGAAUAUUGCACAAUGGGGGGAACCCUGAUGCAGCAACGCCGCGUGGAGGAUGACGCAUUUCGGUGUGUAAACUCCUUUUAUAUGUCAAGAAAAUGACGGUAGCAUAUGAAUAAGCACCGGCUAACUCCGUGCCAGCAGCCGCGGUAAUACGGAGGGUGCAAGCGUUACUCGGAAUCACUGGGCGUAAAGGACGCGUAGGCGGGUUGGAAAGUCAGGUGUGAAAUCCUACAGCUUAACUGUAGAACUGCACUUGAAACUUCUAAUCUAGAGUAUGGGAGGGGGAGUUGGAAUUAGUGGUGUAGGGGUAAAAUCCGUAGAUAUCACUAGGAAUACCUAAAGCGAAGGCGAUCUCCUGGAACAUUACUGAUGCUAAGGCGUGAAAGCGUGGGGAGCAAACAGGAUUAGAUACCCCAGUAGUC
rnacentral:rRNA from 1 species